rfam:Macaca mulatta chromosome 15, whole genome shotgun sequence.
GUCUUCCCUGAGAACUCAUAAUCGUAUAUGUGAGUCUUAGGUGUGAAUUUAUACUCUUUGUGAAUGUACUUCGUGCAUUACUGCUAGUCCCCGUGAAUAAUAUAUA